rnacentral:rRNA from 1 species
GUCUACAACCAUGCCACCCUGAACAAGCCUGAUCCCGUCUGAUCUCGGAAGCUAAGCAGGGUUAGGCCUGGUUAGUACUUGGAUGGGACACCACCUAGGAAGCCCAAGUGCUGUAGGCC